ACUUGAAUUGAAGAGUUUGAUCAUGGCUCAGAUUGAACGCUGGCGGCAGGCUUAACACAUGCAAGUCGAACGGUAGCAGGAGAAAGCUUGCUUUCUUGCUGACGAGUGGCGGACGGGUGAGUAAUGCUUGGGAAUCUGGCUUAUGGAGGGGGAUAACGACGGGAAACUGUCGCUAAUACCGCGUAUUAUCGGAAGAUGAAAGUGCGGGACUGAGAGGCCGCAUGCCAUAGGAUGAGCCCAAGUGGGAUUAGGUAGUUGGUGGGGUAAAUGCCUACCAAGCCUGCGAUCUCUAGCUGGUCUGAGAGGAUGACCAGCCACACUGGAACUGAGACACGGUCCAGACUCCUACGGGAGGCAGCAGUGGGGAAUAUUGCGCAAUGGGGGGAACCCUGACGCAGCCAUGCCGCGUGAAUGAAGAAGGCCUUCGGGUUGUAAAGUUCUUUCGGUAUUGAGGAAGGUUGAUGUGUUAAUAGCACAUCAAAUUGACGUUAAAUACAGAAGAAGCACCGGCUAACUCCGUGCCAGCAGCCGCGGUAAUACGGAGGGUGCGAGCGUUAAUCGGAAUAACUGGGCGUAAAGGGCACGCAGGCGGUUAUUUAAGUGAGGUGUGAAAGCCCUGGGCUUAACCUAGGAAUUGCAUUUCAGACUGGGUAACUAGAGUACUUUAGGGAGGGGUAGAAUUCCACGUGUAGCGGUGAAAUGCGUAGAGAUGUGGAGGAAUACCGAAGGCGAAGGCAGCCCCUUGGGAAUGUACUGACGCUCAUGUGCGAAAGCGUGGGGAGCAAACAGGAUUAGAUACCCUGGUAGUCCACGCUGUAAACGCUGUCGAUUUGGGGGUUGGGGUUUAACUCUGGCGCCCGUAGCUAACGUGAUAAAUCGACCGCCUGGGGAGUACG
rnacentral:rRNA from 1 species